rnacentral:lncRNA from 1 species
CACCUGCUGCUGCUGCUGGUUACACUUGGCCUUCAGGCGCUGGUUCUCCGACUUUGUGGGGUGUGAUGAGAAUCAGCUGGAAGGCUCAGGAAGCAGCCUGGGCUCGGGGCCCCCUGGGUCUUGGUCGUUUGAGCAAGUUCUCAGCUAGAUUCUCAUGCCUCCCAAAGCUGAAGAGCCUCUGAGGCUCUAGGUGCCUUGGGCGGCCAGUCUCUGGCUGCUGCCUGCCCUCCCCGCACCUGGGAUGCCCGUUCCCCUCCUGUCCCCUCUGAUGCCUGACCCGCAGUGAGUUCCUGCUUCCCCUUGCCUGGACCACUCCUCUGGCCCUGACCACACGUCCCACCUUGCACAGGACUGCGUUUUUCUUGUGGGCUGUUCCAUACCCUCCCUGUUUUCACAGAGCCCUCGUGUUGGGUGGGCCCCUGGCUGUCAUCUGUCACGUCUUCCCGCCUUCCCUGAGCAGGGGGAUCCUGGGUUGCCAAGGGCCGAGGGGAGUGCUUGAGGAGCAGGGCGGGGCAGGCCCCUGACCAGCUCUGCCUCAACCACAGGAGAGGAGGCUGCUGCGGAUGACAGAGCCAUCCAUGAGCGGGACCUGGCCUGGCUGCAGCAGGCAGAUGUGGUUGUGGCAGAAGUGACCCAGCCCUCUCUGGGUGUCAGCUAUGAGCUGGACCGGGCCGUGGCCCUCGAAGAACCAGUCCUCGGGAGUUGCUGUCAUGGUGCAGCAGAAACAAAUCCAACUAGGAACCAUGAGGUUUUGGGUUUGAUCCCUGGCGUCGCUCCAUGGGUUAAGGAGCCAGCAUUGCCGUGAGCCAUGGCUUAGGACACAGACACAGCUCAGAUCUGGCAUUUUUGUGGCUGCUUUGUAGGCCGGCAGCUGCAGCUCCAAUUCGACCCCUAGGCUGGGAACCUCCAUAUGCCACAGUUGUGGCCUUCAAAAGCAAAAAAAGAAAAAAGGAAAAAACCAGUCCUGUGCCUGUUCCUCCAGUAGUGUGACUGAGGUGAGCCCUCCCAGCCCUGGAUGGACACCCCCCUUCCCCCAGAUCUCUGAGGACAGUGCUCACUGUGAAAAGGGGUGGGAAAGGGGGGGGAGUGUGGGAGGCCACCUUCACCUCCCUCGGCCCUUCCCAGUGCUCUCAGCCAUGAUCCAGGGAGCUGACGAUGACUCGAGGUUCCAGGUGUGGGACUACCACCAGGCAGAGGCAGAGGCCAUGCUGGAUCAGUACUUUGAGGCUGAUCCUCCCGAGCAGGUGACCUCCCCCUCCCCUGACCCACCCGCUUGACUGAAGCCCAGGUCAUUAAAUUCUUCUGACCCCCACACUCUGCUCCAAUGUGAUCGUGUGACUCUUGCCUCUUAGCCCCAGGACCACAUUCGAAGGUAUGGUUACAACUCUAUGUGUGCUGAGUGCAGAGCAGGGGUGAAAACAGUACUAUCCUCUAAACAUUCCCAUCCACUUCAAGAUGUCAAGAGACCCUUUAAAGGCCCAUAUGCGCCCCCCGCCCCCCAAGAGGAGGAAACUUCCUCAUGCUCUCAGGCUCCUCCCAGGGACAUUCAAGGUUGUGGAGGAAGCAGAUCAUGUUGGGUGGCCAUUCCUCUCGCUGUCUCUGAUGCUGGGCUUGACACCUAAGUGUCCAUUCGUGGAUGAAUGGCUCAAGAAAACGUGUGUGUGUAUAUAUACACAAAUGGAAUAUUACUCAGCCAUAUAAAAGGAAGUCCUGCCAGUUCCAACAAUGUGGAUGGACCUUGAGGUAUGAAGCUAAGGGAAAUAAGUCAGACAGAAAAAACAAAUACUAUAGCACAUCACUUACAUGUAAAAUUAAAAAAAAAAAAAUCUCAUAGACCCAGAGAACAGAUUGUUGUUUUCUAGCAGUUGGGGGUUGGGUUGGGGGAAUUGGGUUCAGAUGGUCAAAAGUUACAAACCUCCAGUGAUAAAAUAAUUAAGUCCUGGGGAUACAAUAUACAGUGCGGUGACUAUAGUUAAUACUGUGCCUUUGAAAAUUGCCAAAAGAGUAGAUCUUAAGAGUUCUUAACACACACAAAACUUGUGACUAUGUCUGGUCAUGGAUAUUAGCCAAACGUAUUGUGGUGAUCAUUCCAAAAUACAUGGAUCCCAUUGAAUACCUGAAUGUAAUGUAUGCCAAUUCUCUUUCAGUACUUAAGAAUCCACAUGGAGUUCCUGGCAUGGCUCAGCAGUAACUAGUAUCCAUGAGGAUGUCAGUUUGAUCCCUAGCCUUGCUCAUUGGGUUAAGGAUCCGGUAUUGCCAUGAGCUGGGGUGUAGAUUGCAGACUCAGCUCCAGUCUGGCGUGGCUGUGGCUGUGGCGUUAGGCUGGCAGGUACACCUUGGAUUUGCCCCCUAGCCUGGGAACUUCCAUAUGCCAGUGGUGCAGCAUAGGGGAACUUCCAUAUGCCAGUGGUGCAGCAGUAAAAAAAAAAAAAAAAAAAAAAAAAAAAAAA